rnacentral:lncRNA from 1 species
AUAUAUAUGUGUGUGUGUGUGUGUGUGUGUGUGUGUGUUUGUGUAUAAGUGUGGUUAUAAUGGUGGAUCGUGGAGAGGGUUGGUUUCGUCGCAAACCGGCAACCAAAUCGGAUGAAAUGAAAUGAUAGAUUCGAUGCCCCUGUCGUGCUGAACGCGUUGGCACAAUCCGAUCGAAAAUCCGACAGACGGAUCUCCGAGAACCACGUAAAGUUCGCUGAGGGAUCGAAGUUGGCAAAAUGGAAAAUCUAUGAA